GACGAACGCUGGCGGCGUGCUUAACACAUGCAAGUCGAACGGAAAGGCCCUGCUUGCCGGGUACUCGAGUGGCGAACGGGUGAGUAACACGUGGGUGAUCUGCCCUGCACUUCGGGAUAAGCCUGGGAAACUGGGUCUAAUACCGGAUAGGAGCCAUUUUUAGUGUGAUGGUUGGAAAGUUUUUUCGGUGUAGGAUGAGCUCGCGGCCUAUCAGCUUGUUGGUGGGGUAAUGGCCUACCAAGGCGGCGACGGGUAGCCGGCCUGAGAGGGUGGACGGCCACAUUGGGACUGAGAUACGGCCCAGACUCCUACGGGAGGCAGCAGUGGGGAAUAUUGCACAAUGGGCGCAAGCCUGAUGCAGCGACGCCGCGUGGGGGAUGACGGCCUUCGGGUUGUAAACUCCGUUCGCUAGGGACGAAGCUUUUUGUGACGGUACCUAGAGAAGAAGCACCGGCUAACUACGUG
rnacentral:rRNA from 1 species